rnacentral:rRNA from 1 species
AACGAACGCUGGCGGCAGGCUUAACACAUGCAAGUCGAACGGUUGUAGCAAUACAGCAGUGGCAGACGGGUGAGUAACACGUGGGAACCUUCCUAGGGGUACGGAACAACUCAGGGAAACUUGAGCUAAUACCGUAUACGUCCGUGAGGAGAAAGAUUUAUCGCCCUUAGACGGGCCCGCGUCGGAUUAGCUAGUUGGUGGGGUAACGGCCUACCAGGGCGACGAUCCGUAGCUGAUCUUAGAGGAUGAUCAGCCACACUGGGACUGAGACACGGCCCAGACUCCUACGGGAGGCAGCAGUGGGGAAUCUUGGACAAUGGGCGCAAGCCUGAUCCAGCCAUGCCGCGUGAGUGAAGAAGGUCUUCGGAUUGUAAAGCUCUUUUACCAGGGACGAUAAUGACGGUACCUGGAGAAUAAGCCCCGGCAAACUUCGUGCCAGCAGCCGCCGUAAAAC